CCCUUAGAUGUUCGGGGCCGCACGCGCGCUACACUGAAGGAAUCAGCACGUCUUUCUCCUUGUCCGAACGGACUGGGUAACCCGCUGAACCUCCUUCGUGCUAGGGAUUGGGGCUUGUAAUUCUUCCCCAUGAACGAGGAAUUCCCAGUAAGCGCGAGUCAUAAGCUCGCGUUGAUUACGUCCCUGCCCUUUGUACACACCGCCCGUCGCUACUACCGAUUGGAUGGUUUAGUGAGAUCCUCGGAUUGGUCCCGGCGCGGCCUCUGGUCGUGCCGGAGUGCCGAAAAGAAUGUCGAACUUGAUCAUCUAGAGGAAGUAAAAGUCGUAACA
rnacentral:rRNA from 1 species